CCGCCGCGCGGGGAGCGCCGGACACGCUGCGCCCGGCAGCUAGCGCCGCGCCGGGGGAGCCAGCCGGGGUCCCGCGGGUGGCAGCUAUGGAGCAGCGACCCUGCUGCCGCCUCCUCCUCAGCCUGGGUGCGCUGCUGGUGCUGCUCUUGCCGAGGCCCGGGAACACCAGCUCAGUAACUCUGCCAGAAACAUUGUUGUUUGUUUCAACCCUUGAUGGAAGUUUGCAUGCUGUCAGCAAGCGGACAGGAGCAAUCAAGUGGACUUUAAAAGAAGAUCCUGUACUCCAGGUGCCAAUACAUGUGGAAGAGCCAGCCUUUCUUCCCGACCCAAACGAUGGCAGUUUGUACACACUUGGUGGCAAGAAUAAUGAAGGCUUGACUAAACUUCCAUUUACUAUCCCAGAGCUGGUGCAGGCGUCUCCCUGUCGCAGUUCAGAUGGGAUCCUGUACAUGGGUAAAAAGCAGGAUAUUUGGUAUGUGAUUGACCUCAUGACUGGGGAGAAACAGCAAACCUUGACUUCUUCAUUUGCAGAAAGUCUUUGCCCAUCAGCAUCCCUCCUGUAUCUUGGGAGAACAGAGUACACAAUCACAAUGUAUGACACCAAGAAGAAGGAGCUGCGAUGGAAUGCCACCUAUUUUGAUUAUGCAGCUACUCUGCCUGAUGAAGACAUACAAUACAAAAUGUCCCACUUUGUGUCUAAUGGAGACGGACUGGUGGUGACCGUAGACAGUGAGUCUGGUGACGUACUGUGGAUUCAGAAUUACGCUUCUCCUGUGGUAGCUUUUUACAUCUGGCAGCGUGAAGGAUUACGGAAAGUUAUGCACACUAACGUGGGGAUAGAAACGCUGCGGUACUUGACGUUCAUGUCUGGGGAGGUUGGACACAUUACCAAGUGGAAAUAUCCUUUUCCAAAGGAAACGGAGACCAAGAGCAAACUGACACCAACUCUGUAUGUAGGGAAAUACUCCACAAGUUUGUAUGCGUCGCCAUCAAUGGUGCAUGAAGGAGUAACUGUUGUGCCCCGUGGCAGUGCCAUACCCUUACUAGAGGGUCCAAAAACGGAAGGAGUCACAAUUGAAGACAACGGGGAGUGUGUUAUCACCCCCAGUACGGAUGUGAAGUUUUCAGGCAGGCUGAAAGGAAAGAACAAGCUCCACUAUUGGAACGACUGGCUGUUAAUAGGGCACCAUGAAACGCCAUUAUCUGCCCCUACAAAGAUCCUGGAGAAAUUCCCAAGUAACUUACCUAAGAGGCCUGAAAACGUGAUUCCAGCUGACACUGAUAAAGCCACUAUUGAAAAGGUGAUUGAUAUCGUUGAAGGUUCCUCCACAGAAGUGCCUCCUGAUGUUCCAAAGGAUAUUGAGGAGAAACCUGCUCGGCCUGUCCCUCGGCCAGAGGCUCCUGUGGACUCCAUGUUGAAAGACAUGGCCACCAUCAUCCUCAGCACCUUCCUGCUUGUGGGCUGGGUGGCUUUUAUCAUCACUUAUCCAAUGAGUGUCCAUCAGCAGCAACAGAGGCAGCAUCAGCUGGAAGAGAAGAUACAGCUUUUGCAGCAACAGUCACUGCCCUUCCGUGCUCCCAGCGAGCUGCCCCCAGAAGCAGAUUUCUUGGACGCCUCCUAUGGACGCGCAGAGAGCUCAGCUACCAGCACGCCGAAUGUGUCCCCUCGAGCAUCAAACCAUUCUGCCUAUUCCAACAUCUCCACAUCCGAUGUUGGGAGCUGCCUCUCUGCUGAGCAAGAGGGAGAUGAAGAUGCAAACAGAGUGAUGGUUGGCAAGAUUUCCUUUAACCCCAAAGAUGUAUUGGGACAUGGAGCUGAAGGGACAAUCGUUUACAGGGGGACGUUUGAUAACCGUGAUGUUGCAGUGAAAAGAAUUCUUCCUGAGUGCUUCAGCUUUGCAGACCGUGAAGUGCAGCUGCUGCGAGAGUCGGAUGAGCAUCCCAACGUGAUCCGCUACUUCUGCACGGAGAAGGACCGGCAGUUCCAGUACAUCGCCAUCGAGCUGUGUGCUGCCACCUUACAGGAGUACGUUGAGCAGAAGGCCUUCAGUCACCAUGGCUUGCAACCCAUCACUCUCCUGCAGCAGACAACGUCUGGUCUUGCUUACCUGCACUCCCUCAGCAUUGUCCACAGGGACCUGAAGCCCCAUAACAUCCUCAUCUCGAUGCCUAAUGCCCAUGGGAAAGUCAAAGCCAUGAUCUCAGACUUCGGCCUGUGCAAGAAGCUGGCAGUGGGCAGGCACAGCUUCAGCCGCCGGUCGGGUGUGCCGGGCACCGAAGGGUGGAUUGCCCCUGAGAUGCUGAGUGAAGACUGCAAAGAGAACCCUGUAAGUGUUCAUCUUUCCAGCAGGUACCCUGGGAGAAGGCAGCACAACCAGCGGGUGGCACAUGGUUGCAGUCAGACUUUAAGACACACAGUACUUGACGCCUGGGCAUUCAUGCUGGCUUGCAGCUGAAUCUGUGAUUCUGAAAAGAUGAUCGAAGUCUUCAGGGGACAAACAAUGUGUUAUUGCUAUUAAAGGUUGUUUAUUUGCAGACAUAUACCGUGGACAUCUUUUCAGCUGGCUGUGUCUUUUAUUAUGUGAUAUCUGAAGGCAGCCAUCCCUUUGGCAAAUCUCUGCAGCGGCAAGCCAACAUUCUGCUGGGUGCAUACAGCCUGGAGUCUUUAAAUGCAGGGAGGCAUGAAGACAUAGUCGCUCGUGAUUUAAUAGAGCAAAUGAUAAGUAUGGACCCUCAGAAACGUCCGUCUGCCAGCUGUGUGCUGAAACACCCCUUCUUUUGGAGUCUAGAAAAACAGCUCCAGUUUUUUCAGGAUGUUAGUGACCGGAUAGAGAAAGAAACUUUAGAUGGUCCAAUAGUCAAGCAGCUAGAAAGAGGUGGAAGAGAGGUGGUGAAACUGGACUGGAGAGAGCACAUCACUGUCCCUCUUCAGACAGACCUUCGAAAAUUCAGAUCCUACAAAGGAGGCUCCGUGCGGGAUCUUCUGAGGGCAAUGAGAAAUAAGAAGCACCAUUACAGAGAACUGCCUCCCGAAGUGCAAGAGACCCUGGGCUCCAUCCCAGAUGAUUUUGUAUGUUACUUUACAGCUCGUUUCCCUCACCUGCUCCUACACACCUACCACGCUAUGCGUAUCUGCUGCCAUGAAAGACCGUUUCAGCAUUACUAUAGUCAGGACUCUGCAGAACUGAGCCUUGCAGGAGACACUGUUUGAGAGGAGGGGGAUGGAACUUUCUUCUUUGGGACCAACAUUCCAAGCACAGGGCUGUGACACAGGCCUACCUUUAGCAGGGAAAAGAGGGAUCAAAGAGCUGAAUUCUCUCUCUUUGAAGAAACCAAGCUUCCAAAAAGUGCCUUGUACCUCUGCCUGCGCUGGACCAGGAGAUGGUGGGAGCCCAAGGAGCGAGUGGUAACUUCAGAAAAGCAAUGAACCCUGGUGAUGGAGUUAUUCUCAAGAUGGU